rnacentral:piRNA from 1 species
GGAACCUGAAAAGGUACAAGGCUUGCC